CCUACGGGUGGCAGUAGUGAGGAAUAUUGGUCAAUGGACGGAAGUCUGAACCAGCCAUGCCGCGUGCAGGAAGACGGCUCUAUGAGUUUUAAACUGCUUUUGUAGGAGGGUAAACCUAAAUACGUGUAUUCAGCUGACAGUACUGUACGAAUAAGGAUCGGCUAACUCCGUGCCAGCAGCCGCGGUAAUACGGAGGAUCCAAGGGUUAUCCGGAUUUAUUGGGUUUAAAGGGGGCGUAGGCGGAUUGAUAAGUUAGAGGUGAAAUGUGCGGGCUUAACUCGGGAACUGCCUCUAAUACUGUUGAUCUAGAGAGGAGGUGCGGUAGGCGGAAUGUAUGGUGUAGCGGUGAAAUGCUUAGAGAUCAUACAGAACACCGAUUGCGAAGGCAGCUUACCAAUCUAUAUCUGACGUUGAGGCACGAAAGCGUGGGGAGCAAACAGGAUUAGAUACCCUUGUAGUC
rnacentral:rRNA from 1 species